AACUGAAGUAUAGAAGGUCACUUGUCCAGUGCCACUCAAUGAUUCUGGGUCCAUCAAGAGGAAUAAUUUCUCAUACAAUGAUGAUUGAACUUUCUCAAAGAAGAAAUAGAUUAGCUCCUAAGAACAGUCAUAAAGGACCCAGCGCACGGCAACUACUGAGCGAAGAAUUUUCCCUUGGGACCAGAUGAAGUGCCAAGAAAAGGUGUGUGGCAUCAGGAGUGAAGACAAACUCUGAGAGUCUUCUGCAGCGCUCAUCACAGAGAGGGAACCAUCAAGCCACUGAAUGUCAGGGAAGAGGAAAGGAAGAGCAGACAGGGGAGUCUCUGCAUUGUCUUUGGAUGGAGAACAAAGGUCAUAGGAAAGAGAGUUCGUGAAAACAAAUCUCUUUAAGUUGCUCCUGUCUCAGAAGGCUAUGUGUUCCUGAUGUGAACGGAUAAAUUCACCCCUGUGGUUGGUAUUUAUGGGAACGAAGGUGACAGGGAGCCAACCUUGCCCUUCAGGGCCUUUGAUCCAAACAAACCUACAUUGUCUGCAUCAAAAGGAGAGAAGAUUACAGAAUAAAAAUGUAGCAAAAGGAGAAAAGG